UGAUGACAUUCUCCAGAAUCGCUGUACAGCCUUGUUGAAAGCACAUUUGAACCCUUUUCCAUCUGAUCGCU
ensembl:snoRNA